rnacentral:rRNA from 1 species
CCAAAUUACUAAGGGCAUGUGGGGGAUGUCUUGGCACCAAAAGACGACGAAGGGCGCGGAAAACUGCGAUAAUCCCGGUGGAGCUGUUAAACAAGCGUUGAGACCGGGGUACCUGAAUGAGCAUACACUGAAUACAUAGGUGUAUGCGGCAAACUCGGAGAACUGAAACAUCUCAGUACCCGAAGGAAAAGAAAGAAAAAUCGAUUCCGUAAGUAGCGGCGAGCGAAAGCGGAACAGCCUAAACCAACUGGAAUUUCUAGUUGGGGUUGUAGGAUCAGACUUAAAGACUGAGUAUACCUAACCAAAGCGUCUGGAAUGUCGCACCAUAGACGGUGAAAGUCCCGUAGGUAAAAGGUAGAGACGGUUUGUCUGACACCUGAGUAGGGCCGGCCACGUGGAAUCCGGUUUGAAUCUGCGGGGACCAUCCCGCAAGGCUAAAUACUCUUUGGUGACCGAUAGCGAACUAGUAGCGCGAGCGAAAGAUGAGAAGAAACCCGAUAAGGGUAGGAUAGUGAACCUGAAACCACAUGCCUACAAGCGGUCGGAGCCCAGUGGCGCAAGCCCGGGUGACGGCGUGCCUUUUGCAUAAUGAUCCGGCGACUUACCGUCAUCAGCCAGGUUAAGCCGUUCUGCGGCGGAGCCGAAGCGAAAGCGAGUCUGAAUAGGGCGAAUGAGUUGGUGGCGGUAGACGCGAAACCACGUGAUCUACGCAUGGGCAGGAUGAAGUGAGGGUAACACCUCAUGGAGGUCCGAACUCACUAGUGUUGAAAAACUAGGGGAUGACCUGUGCGGAGGAUUGAAAGUAUCAUCAAACUUGGAGAUAUCUUGUUCUCUCCGAAAUAACUUUAGGGUUAACGUCGUGACAGAUGACAUUGGGGGUAGAGCGACUGAAUGCGCUGGGGGGCCUACCAGGCUACCCCUCGCAACCAAACUCCGAAUACCAAUGUACCUUAUCACGGCAGCUAGACGGUGGGGGAUAAGCUUCAUCGUCGAGAGGGGAACAACCCAGACCGCCCGCUAAGGCCCCUAAA